rnacentral:rRNA from 1 species
CCCCUAGAUGUUCUGGGCCGCACGCGCGCUACACUGAACAGUUCAACAAGUCUUAACCUUGGCCGAUAGGUCUGGGUAAUCUUUGAACGCUGUUCGUGAUUGGGAUAGACCUUUGCAAUUAUGGGUCUUCAACGAGGAAUUCCUAGUAAACGCAGGUCAUCAGCUUGCAUUGAUUACGUCCCUGCCCUUUGUACACACCGCCCGUCGCACCUACCGAUUGAAUGGUCCGGUGAAAUCUCGGGACGGCGGCUUGGUCGCUUGCGUCCGACUGCUGAAACUUGAUUAAACCAUAUCAUUUAGAGGAAGGGGAAGUCGUAACA